rnacentral:lncRNA from 1 species
CCCGACAGCCCUUAGGGACCUAAAACAGUAAAGAAAAUCCUAAGUAAAGGAAAGAAGAAGCCAGCCUAUAAGAGGCCCCCGAUGGUCUGCGAAUUGAGAGGCCCGAAGGACCCGGGGAGAACGGGUGAGAAAAGCAGGGUUUAUGACAAAUCUAGACACGGGCAUGCGUGGGAUAUGUGUUGGGGCGGCGUGCGGGAGUCUCCGGGAUAGGAUCGGGGAACACAAGAGGAGCAUUGGGACAGCCAACAUGACAGCGGCCCUUGCCACAGGGGCUUGCGAGAGUGGCGUCAUGGUGGGUUGGAGGGGCGCAGGAGUGGUGAAGCGGGUUGAGGGCCGGAGGGGGCUAGCCAUGGCGGAGGGUUUGCAAAUGGUGAAAGGCAGAGAGAGGAUGAAGUCGUUAAUGAUCGUGACG